rnacentral:rRNA from 1 species
GACGUAGGGCGCGAGCGUUGUCCGGAUUUAUUGGGCGUAAAGAGCUCGUAGGCGGCUCAUUGCGUCAACCGUGAAAACCAGCAGCUCAACUGUUGGCUUGCGGUUGAUACGGGUGGGCUGGAGUUCGGUAGGGGAGACUGGAAUUCCUGGUGUAGCGGUGAAAUGCGCAGAUAUCAGGAGGAACACCGGUGGCGAAGGCGGUUCUCUGGGCAUUACCUGACGCUGAGGAGCGAAAGUGUGGGGAGCAAAAGGG